AGAUUGCCUGGAUUGUAGUUAUACCUUCUGGACUACCAAUUUGGAUCACAUUGAAUCCACUUUACUGUGCGUAUAUAUAUUCAUUGUGUGUGUGUAUCUCGUGCAUAACGAGCAUAUGUAUAUCAAUAUUAAAGAGGACAAAUAAGCAUGAAUAGGUUGGCUACGAUGGAACGAACAGGUUUAUUGUCAAAAGCGUUUCAGCCGACACCAUGUCACCGUUUUUAAAACAUUGGUUGUUAUUUGAGCGACUUCGUUGAGACGUGGUGUUCUGCACUGAUUGGUAAAGUACGCCAGUGUACGGACUCUCUUUCUCAAAAUGUUUUUUUAUGUAGAUACUGUGGCACUUAUAUCACUGAAACAUAUCCCAAAGAUAUCAAUGCAUUUCUAUUUUCUCUUAAUUUGAGAUGGAAACGGAAUUUGAAACCAAUAUAAUAGCAGGUAUGAAUAUCCAUCGAAAAUAAAUUCAGUCAUACCUACACACGUA